GGGUCCGGACACACUGAGGAUUGACAGAUAUACGCUCAUUGCAGUUCGCUGCAUGAGCUGAAAGAUGCUAGUUCUUUCAUGAUUAUGUGAUAGGUGGUGCAUGGCCGUUCUUAGUUCGUGGAGUGAUCUGUCUGCUUAAUUGCGUAUCAAUAAUAGAGACCUAGUAUACGCGUGGAUUUCGCGUGGUAGUGACCCCCUGUUUAACGACAGGCGUGUGUCGCACACGCGUACCUACGCACUGGUCUCAGAUAGCAACGAACGUGACCGUAUUCUAUUGUUGCAGUGAAAUGUGCCUUCUGGGUACGACCCACUGCUUAGUAUAUGUACGUGCUUCGGCGCGAACAAUAUACAUUAAACUAUAGAGACCGCUGUUUCUUCUUUAAACCAGAGGAAGGAUACGGCAAUAACAGGUCUGUGAUGCCCUCAGAUGUUCCGGGCUGCACACGUGCUACAAUGAUCAUUGCACUGUGCAUCUAACCCAAUGUGCGCGGACGCCGCAUGCAUGUGCCUUCGGGUACACGCAUUGCUGAGCGACCGCGCCGAACCUACUUCGAAAGUAAAAUUUCUCAGUGGGU
rnacentral:rRNA from 1 species